CUUGAGCGAUCCGAGCCACAGCGGAGCGUCCUCCGGCCGGUCCUGGCCGUAGGUGGCGAGGAUGGCCUGCGCUUC
rnacentral:antisense_RNA from 1 species